AUUCUACUCCCUCCGUUGCACAAUACAUGCCUUCUAUUUGUAAAAAUAUAUAUGUAUCUCGACAUGUUUUAGUAUAUAGGUACAUCCAUUUUUGGACAAAUGGAAGUCAAGUAUUUUGGAACGGAGGGAGUACACA
rfam:Triticum aestivum genome assembly, contig: Triticum_aestivum_CS42_TGACv1_scaffold_404687_5BL